rnacentral:lncRNA from 1 species
CCACCCUCCAGGGUUAGGAACCAGAUUAAUUCCUCCGUUGUUGCCAGACUGGGAUCUUGCUAGGCUCUGUUUGCUGGAAGGUUUUGAAAAAAUGCCUUGUAAAUUCGGUUUAAUGAAUUUCUACAACCACCUGUGAAAUCCUCGCAAGGGCCCUCAGGAUUUCACCCGCCGGCACGGGAAAUUGGCCCCAAUGCUCGGGUUCUCCGCGGGGCGUCCUCGUCCCCGGGGAGACGCGGCGCCGCCAGGUUCUGGGCUUCCGGUCUGUUUCCACCAGCGCCACCAGCCCUCUCUCUCCAGAUCAGGGCGGGCCCCACACAAUCCUCCCGGGAUGCCCCAUCUUCGGGGACCCUGAUUCCCCUAUCCUACGGACAGCUGAGGGGCAAAAGAGGGAAAAAGGAAUCGCUCUUAAAAACAAAACCAAACACAGAAGUCCGGGCGCCGCGUCCCGUGCCUGGGAAGUGUGUGGUCCCUCUUAACUGCUGCCAGCUGAGGAGGAGAAGGCCACGUUUUGCUUAGGUUGUGUCAGCAUCAUCGCUUACCAUCCUGGUCAUCUUCCAUGGGAAGGAGGAAGGGGAAAUUAGAUUCCUUGAGAGAAGGUGAGUUAUCCCCUUUUAUGAUUCUACUAUGGAAAUUCUUCUGAAGAUGUAAAAGGAG